UCGAUCUUCAGGCAUUCAAAUCAAUGAUCCACACCGUUAAAUAUGAUCUAGGGUAUAUGAAGUUCUUAGGAAUAAAAUUUUAGUUUUUUUCGAUAUCGUUUACUUAGUAAAUAAAUUAUGUCAAAAUGGACGGUGGAAAUUGAAUAAUUUUUAAAAUUUGAGUAUAGGACUUUUAAAUUCAAGAUCAAGAAUGUUAAUCUUAAUCUAUAUAGUUUGAAGUAUUUUCUAUCAAAAUUUGAAGAAAUUUAGAUUCUUCUACACCGUUAAACUCCAAACUCGUCAUAAUAGCCAUUGAAAAUUGACAAUUUUGAAAUAGAUAUAUAUCAUAAAGUUGCAAACUAUUGUCGAAAAAAUAUAAAAUUUUAUUUCUAAAAACUUUAAAUACCCUAGAUCAUAUUUAACGGUAUGGAUGUUAUUUGAACACCCUAAAUAAAAAAUAAGACUAUAGUACGAAGCUCUGGUCUAUAGAUAGUAUAGUAGCCUAAUUCUCUCUCUCUCUUCUUCCUAUAUAUAUAAUAGCAAUUGGCUACCAUGACUACUUAUAGUCGGAGCUCCGUACUAAUAGACCAACUAAUUUAUAUAUAUAUUUAUAUAGGAAUUUAGUGUUACUAUAGUACGUAGCUCCGAUAUCUAUGUAGUAUGGUAGCUAAAUUUAAUAUAUAUAUAUAUAGAGAGAGAGAGAGAGAGAGAGAGAGAGAGAGAGAGAGAGAGAGAGAAUUAGGCUACUAUACUAUCUAUAGUACCGGAGCUCUGGUACUAUAGUCUUAUUUUUUAUCUUAGGGUGUUCAAAUUAACGAUCCACACUGUUAAAUAUGAUCUAGGGUAUAUAAAGUUCUUAGGAAUAAAAUUUUAGUUUUUUUCGAUAUCGUUUACUUAAGUAGAGAAAUUAUGUCAAAAUGGACGGUGGAAAUUGAAUAAUCUUUAAAAUUUGAGCAUUGGAUUUUUAAUAUUUAUCAUAAUCUAACUGGGAUUCAACUAUAAAUCUAACCAAAUCCAGGGAAGGAUUAGGUUAGAUUGUGACAACAUUAAGUAGCUUCCCUAAGAUUCCUAAUUUAGCUAUGUUUAGAAGCUUGAAUUCUGUUGUUUUGGAAUUGAAGAAUGCUCUCCAAAUGUUUAGUUUCUAUCCAAGAUUAGUUUCUAUCCAAGACGAUUAGGUAGAAAAUGGAGAUAAUAUGUACUUUACUGUUCAUUGUACUUGUAAUCAAGGACAAUUAUGUGAGAUAUUCAAUUGCAUCAGCAGAAAGUAAUGUAGACUUCUCUUCUUACUUUAUGUGUGGUAACAUUGUGAAAAUUUUGUUGGCCUCACGGGCCCGGAACAGCAAGAAGGAGAGGACAGUCUGGGGUAUACUGUGACGGUACUUGGCGUGCCGGUCGAAACUACAACGGUCGAAUCCCGACUGACUCCGACUCCCGAUGCAAUCCCUAUGGGGAUCGGACAUGUUGUUGGAUCAAUGGGCGAUUCGAAGGCGCCGACCAGAUCUUGUGCGCGGCUUCUCUCAGUGACAAAGAUGCCGGCGCUGGACCGAGCGAAGCGUCGAAAAGCUAUCCUUCGGGAGGGGGAAACCAACAACCCGAGGAACCUCGCACGUAAAUGGAGUAGCAAAAAGGUCGCGGCAAAGAGUGCUAGGUAUGGGGUAAAGCUUACGGAGUUCGAAGCGGAGGAGCCGCAUAAGUUUAUUUUGCUGGGAUGAUUAGUGCUCUGUUGGGCCUAAUGAUUUUUUGGACGUCUUUUGGGGUCGCCGGUGGCGUGUGUCGACGUCAUUAGGGUCGUCAGUCCUGUGUGUCGGUUUAUCCCAUGUUUAACAUAAUUACUUGGAAUGUUCGAGGUCUUAACGACCUUGUCAAGCGUCGUGGAGUCAAGUCUGUUGUUUUGAAACACUUCUGUUCCAUCGUCUGUAUCCAAGAAUCUAAAGUCGCUUCGGUGUCUCGUUCGUUUCUCCAAUCAUGCUGCGGUUCAAGGUUUGAUAGAUGCCAUUUCAUCCCGGCUAUUGGCGCUUGUCGGGGUUUAAUUACCUGUUGGAACUCCAGAUUUUUCUUAUGUACGGAGGUUUUAAGUCGCAAUCAUUCGCUCACACUAAAUUUGAAACAUUUGGCUACUGGAAACUGUUUCUACCUGACAAACGUAUACGGGCCACCUUCAUGGGACGGGAAAGAAGAAUUUUGUAUUGAACUCCUUUCGCUUAGCGAGAUAUGUGCCAACAACUGGGUCAUUUGUGGGGAUUUCAACCUCACCAGAAACCAAGCUGAGCGAACUGGGCGCCUGUGGAGUACCAGAGUGAUGAACAUGUUCUCCGACCUCAUCGCGAAGCUCGAUGUUAUUGAUUUGCCUAUCUCCAAUCAAAAUUACACUUGGUCAAAUAUGCAGAGUACACCGACACUGGCCAAGCUAGAUAGGUUUUUGGUCUCAAUGGAAUGGGACCAAUCUUAUCCGCAAUGUAGGGUCUCCGCGCUACCUCGAAUUACCUCCGAUCACACACCGUUAGCGCUUUCCACACGGACCUCGACCACUCCAUGGAGAUUUCAGUUCGAGAGCGUCUGGCUCACUAAGGAGGAUUUCUCCAAUAAUGUACCAAUCUGGUGGAACGAAAUCACAAACAAAAGGUCAUCUAUUCUCACUCUAACGGCGAAACUCAGACACUGUAGAAACAGGAUGAAGGAAUGGUGUAAGACAAACUUUCACAGCAUAUCCAAUGCUAUAAAGUGCCUGCAGGAGAAAAUCUGUGCCAUCGACCUUCUAGAGGAACCGAGCAUCCUGCCACAGGACACUCAAGAUAGAUGGGUCGACCUCAAAUCGCAACUGCAACUCAUUCUCAAGGAGGAAGAGAUCCUCUGGAAGACGAGAGCGAAACAGCACUGGCUUAAAGAAGGAGACAACAAUACGAAGUUUUUUCACGCGGUAGCCAAUGGGUAGAAGCGUAGCAACGCGAUAGAGUAUAUUGAAGAUGACACUGGCAGACAAAUCCACAACGACAUCCAAAUGAGAUCCUAUUUUCUUCAUUCCUUCAAACGCCUUUUUGGGAGAAUGGACGGAGGUCCUUCUUCUUUUGGAGAUUGGGCUGACCUGUAUCGUGCGAACAUCCUUUCAGACUCGGACGCCCUUACUAGCCCAGUAACACUAGAAGAGGUCAAGAAGGCGACUUUCCAACUAGGCAGUGACAAGGCUCCCGGACCUGACGGCUUUCCCCUUCUUUUCUUUCAAAAGUUUUGGGAGACGGUUAAGGAGGACAUAUUUAACAUCUUCAGUGAUCUGCAAAACAACGCACUCUCCACGGGCCCAACUGAUUAUGCAUAUGUUUGCCUCAUUCCUAAAAAAGAAGGGGCGUGUAAAGUGAGUGACUUCCGUCCGAUAUGCCUCAUGAAUGGAAUCCAAAAGAUCAUAUCUAAAGUGCUGGCGAACAGACUGGCGUCCAUUUUACCCGCGAUAAUAGCCCCUGCACAAUCAGCUUUUCUGAAAGGUCGCCUACUAGCAGACUCUUUCGUAACUACAAGCGAACUCCUCAACUGGUGCGCAAAAUCCGGUAAGGAAUGUGUUAGCGUCAAGGUAGACUUCGAGAAAGCUUACGACAACGUAAGUUGGGCUUUCCUACACAGCAUAAUGAGGUGGCUUGGGUUCAGUGAGAAAUGGUGGAACUGGAUUGAACAAUGUAUCUGCAACGCAAAAAUCGCUGUAUUGGUUGAUGGUACGCCGACAAAUUGGCUAAAAACAAGGAAGGGGCUGAGACAGGGCGACCCACUUUCGCCAUACCUAUUCAUCCUAGUGGCCGAUGCCCUCGCCAGAAUUACAGAAGCGGCUAGGAGUAACAACUUGAUCCAAGGAAUCGGCCCAACCGUAAAUUGUCAGACAGUGCUUCUUCAAUAUGCAGACGACACAUUAUUCUUUUCGAAGCCAAAGAAGUCGCAAAUGCGAAAUCUGCGAUUACUCUGGAAGAUGUUCGAAUGGGCCUCAGGUCUCAAGAUAAAUACGAAUAAGACUGAACUCGUCUACCUGGGACCAAAUGAUAGUAGAGCCAGCAGACUUGCUGAUAUUUUGGUAUGUAAAGUAGGCAAGCUACCAUUUCGUUACUUGGGGUUGACGCUACACACCAAACCACUUCGGAAGGACGAUUGGGCUCUGAUAAUAGAUCGUAUAGAAGCACGCAUUGAGGGUUGGAAGGCAAAACUUCUCUCACAUGGGGGAAGACUCGUCUUGGUCAACUCGGUGUUAUCGAACAUCUCAUUAUUCUACUUCGCUAUUUUCAAAGCGCCACAAUGGGUGCUGAAGCGUAUCGAAGCACUGAGAAGAUCCUUUUUCUGGAAAGGUUGUUCCAAAAUUACAGGAGGAGCUUGUCUAGUCGGAUGGAGAUCGAUCUGCAAAAGUAAAAAAGAAGGAGGACUAGGGGUUAAAGACAUGGAAGCAAUGAACACGGCUCUACUAACCUGGCGGUUUUUUAAAGAGCCGCACCUCCUUUGGGGGAGGUUGAUUACAGCAUUAUAUUAUACCAGAAGGAGACCGCUGCACGAGGAAAGAGCCUUCAGACCCUUCUCCCAGUGGUGGCGAAGUGUGAUGACAUGCAGAGAUGUGUUCAAAACUGGCGUUUCUUACGUACUCGGAGACGGGAAAAUCAUUAGGAUGUGGUCAGAUAUUUGGAUUGAAGAAACCCCACUCAGUACCCAAUUUCCAAGAUUGCAUUCCAAAAUCGUGAACAAGGAGGUCACAGUCUCAAAAUGCUUGAACGAAAAAGGAUGGAGAUGGAGGUACAUAGCCAGGAGUCUCCAGACAUCGAACACUAGCGUUAGUCGACAACAGAAGAACGCGCUCAAAAACCUCCUCCUACAGUACAGCCCAUCGGACACGCCAGACGUAAUCAAGUGGAGAUGGACAGCCGACCAAAUCUUUACAGUUAAAUCACUAUAUGAAUUCAUCACCGACGAUGGCCAGACAGACCCCUUAUAUGUACAUCUAUGGAGGCUAAGAAUUCCGACUAAAAACAGAAUAUUCAUUUGGAUUCUCCUCCGCAAGAGAGUACUUACCGCGGACAGGUUGAUCCGUCGAGGGUACACUGUGGAUGAGUUUUGUGUGUUUUGUGUGCUAUCCACAGAAACCUGUGAUCACCUCUUUCGGGAAUGUGUUUUUAUCAGAUAUCUCCUACUCACGACGGUAAAUUUAGGCACAAGCGAUGUGGAAUCGGGGGAUGUAUGCCGGCUAUGGACGGACACAGCUAACAUUCACAAUGUCGCCUUGAGGACAAAAAGUCUAACCCUUCUAGCGGCAAUCUGGUGGGUGACUUGGACGGAACGUAAUAACACUAUUUUCCGCGGUGCGCAGCCCAAUGCUGCCCGGGCUAUCGAACGUGUCACGUCCUUGACCAAAGCCUGGAACGAUGCCUUUUAACUAUAGACCGUGUCCCCUGUUUUGUUCCGUUCUUUGGUCGUUUGUUGUUUUAGUGUUGGCUUUGCUUUGUAUAUUUCUAUUUCUUUUUUCUUUGCUUUGUUUUUUCGUUCGGUCCCUCCAUGAGGCCUUAGUUGCCUCCAACAUGUACGCUUAGUUCAUUUUGCUUAAUGAAUGAAGCAGGUAGCUUGCUACCUAUUUCUAUAAAAAAAACAUUGUGAAAAUUGAAGAUUUGACUAUCAAGUUGGUUGCAUAGCUAUAUUGACUUGGAAGGUUUGCACUAGGGACCACGAGUCCUUUGUACAUUAUCUCUAGGUUUGCACCAGGCGGGGUGCUGGGAGAUGGUAGAGGCUACAGGGGCGCAGCUGGAGGAAGUUGGUUAGCUAGGGUUAGGGUUUCCUACAUGAAACCCUAACACCAAUACUUAUAUAAGGUGUAGUAAUGCAGAGAAGCCCUCCAAAGCUGACUAUUUUCAACCCAGUUCCCCGCAGCGCGUGUAUUUCACGCGUAAGCACCUCGAUGUUUGAAAUCGCGCAAAACGGUACAUAAAAUAUUAGGCUUUUCGCAGAUUUUCCGUUUUGCCAAUUUCGACCCCUCAGCGAACUUUUCGUGAUUCCCGGAGAUCCGUUCGUCGGAUUUUCGAUCGGAUUGCACCAGUGCGUUCAGCACGCCUGGGGCAUAGAAUUUACCGUUUCGUUACGUCCGAUUUGGUCGCCGAUUUGCAAUGAAACCAACCCUCUCCGCGAUCCACCAUUAUAACCACACUUACACACACACACACACACACACACACACACACACACACACACACACACACACAUAUACAUAUAUAUAUAUAUAGAGUGCGGCUAGGAUGCUUAUGGAAGCACGGAGGGCUCCGUGCUUCCACUUUGUUUUUGAUGUUCAGACUUUCGAAUCGACGAUCGGCUCCGUUAGACUUGAUCUAGAGUAUUUGAAAUACCUAGAAAUUAAAUUUUGCGAUUUUUCGAUAUCAUUUGCCUAGUGAUCGAAGUGGCUCAAAAUCAACGGCUGAAAAUAAAAAUCUUACAAAAUAUGAUGAUAUGACAUUAAAAUUUUAGAUCAAAGUUAUUGAUCUUGUUUUAUAUCGUAUAAAGAAUUUUCUAUCAAAAUUUCAUGUGAUUUGGAUAUUUCUACACCGUUAAACUUGCAACCGGCUCACCACGGCCGUUAAAAUUAUUGAUUUUGAGCCCCUUCGAUCACAAGGCAAAUGAUAUCGAAAAAUCGCAAAAUUUAUUUUCUAGGUACUUUAAAUACUCUAGAUCAACUCUAACACAGCCGAUCGUCGAUUCGAAAGUCCGAACAUAGCCCUCCGUGCUUCCAUAAGCAUAUACCAGCCCAUAAGCAUACCAGCCCACUCUAUAUAUAUAUAGGGUGUGUUUGGUUCGAAGUCGGAAUCGAAAUCGAAAACGGAAUGGGAAUAAGCUGGAAUCGGAAUCGGAAUGACUCAUUACCUCAUUCUGAUUUUAUUACAAUCAUAUAAAAUUUUAUUAUUUAUAUAAUUACAUUUAAUUAUUACAAUAAAAUAUAUACAAUAUAAUUUAUUUUCAUAUCAAAUAAUUAUAAAUAUAAUAUUUUUUUCUACUUUUUUAUUCAUUAUUUGUAAGUUGCUCAUUUAUAUUUUAAAUAGAGUAUUUCAAAAUAAGUUAAAGUAAUUAAAUGUAUUUAUAAGGUAAAAAUGGUAUUUAUAUUUGACUUCCGUUCUGAUAAACUACUGACCAAACACCGACAAUAGGAAUGUCUUUGAUUCCGAUCAGAUGGUAACAAUAACAAAUAAGUAAUGAAGUCAUUCCGAUUCCGAUUCCAGUUUAUUCCCAUUCCUUUCUCUGAUUUGAUUCGACUUCGAACCAAACACCCAUAUUAUAUAUAUAGAGCUGGGUCUGGUAUGCUUAUGGAAGACGAGCCCUCCGUGGCUUCCACUUUGUUUUCGAUGUCGACUUUCGAAUCGACGAUCGGCUGCGUUAGGUUGAAUCUCAAAGUAUUUGAAGUACCUAUAGAAAAUAAUAAAUUUGGCGAUUUUUCGAUAUCAUUGCUGUAGUGAUCGAAGGGGGCUAAAAUCAAUUAAUUUAACCGAUGCCUGGUGAGCCCAGUUGAUGAAGUUUAACGGUGAAAAAAUCCAUAAACAAUAUUUUAUAGAAAUUCUUUAUAUCCAAUAUAAAACAAGAUCAAUCAACGUUUGAUCUAAAAUUUAAUGCAUAUUAAUCAAUAAUUUGUAAGAUUUUUUAUUUUCAGCCGUUGAUCUUGUAGGCCACUUCGAUCACUCCCAGCACCACACUGAAAAUCCAAACACGCAAAUUUAUUUUUCUAGGUACUUCAAAUACUCUAUAUCAACUCCUACACGGAUAGCCAUCGUCGAUUCGACAAGUCCGAAAUGCGAAAACAAUGAAUGGAAGCACGGAGGCCUCCAUGCUUCCAUAACAUUCUACGCCGCUCGUUCUCUCCUCUCCUUCAUCUUCUCUCUCCUCCUCACGUCUCUCUCAUUUCCAUCUCCCCUCUCUCUCUCUAUAAAUUAUUUUGAUAGAUUUAUCUCAAAUUAUUUUCAUAUAAAUAUUUAUAAAAUAAAUUAUUGUAUAAAUUUAUUUUGCGCAUAUACCAAUUUUAAUGACUUUUAUUUAAAUAGAUUUAACGAUUAAAUUAUUUUUUUAUAACUUUUAUUUAAUUUAAUAAUUAGACAUAAAACUAUAUAAAGAUAUUAAAAAAAUAAAAUUUAUUAUAAAAAUAUUUUUACAUUUGCAGCAUCGCGCGGGUAUUUCACUUGUCUUCUACUAUAUUAAAGGAGGGUUUGAGGAGACCUUGGGGUGACAAAUGUCCCUCGAACCCUUCCCUACUCUCUCUCAUAUAUAUAUAUAUAUAUAUAUAUAUAUAUAUAUAUAUAUAUAUAUAUAUAUAUAUAUAUAUAUAUAUAUAUGUAUAUAUAGUAGGUCUUGUGUGCUAUUAGGAGCACGGAGGCCUCCGUGUUCCUAAGUCGUUUUCGAUGAUGAGACUUCGAAUCAACGAUCGGCUCCGUUAGACUUGAUCUAGCGUAUUUGAACUAUCUAGAAAAUAAUUUUUGUGAUUUUUCAAUAUCAUUUACCUAGUGAUCAAAAGAAUUUAAAAUCAACAACUUGUAAUGGUUGACAUAUGCCGUUUGCAAGUUUAACGGUGUAGAAGUAUUUAAAUCAGAUGAAAUUUUGAUAAAAAAUUCUUUAUACUAUCUAUAACAAGAUCAAUAUCUCUAAUAAAAAAUUUUAGUGUUACAUCAUAACACUACAAUAAAAUUAAGUUUUAGUGGCAAUUUAAUAGCGAAAAUUAUCGGACGGCCGUUAAUUAUUUUUAUCAUAAUAUGUUUUAGCGGCAAUUAUUUUAAGGGUUAUUUGCAUACACGUUCCUGCAAACAUAGUGAAUUGCGGAAAUAUCCCUGCAAAACGAAAAUUUCAUAAGUUGUCCCUGCAAAAGUCAUAAGUUAUGCAGAUAUGUCCCUCUGGUUAACAUCCGUGAGUGAACUGUUUAUUUUUUAACAGUUUUAUUAUAAAAUGACCUUUUUGCCCUCACAAAUAUAUCCAUCCAAAAAUAUUCCUCUUCCCCUUCUCUUUCCCUUCCUCUUUGGGCCGCCGGAGCGGACGACGGUGGCGGAGCGAGGUCGGGUUCGCCGACAACGAAGAAGAGGGAAGAGAAAGAAGGAGAGGAAGAAGAAGAGGGAAGAGAAAAAAGGAGAGAAAGGGGGAGAGGAAGAGGAAAGAGAAAGAUGAAGAGUGGGAGGGUUCGCCGCCGCGUGCCGCCGCCGCAUCUCCUCCCUCGCCGGCGAUAAAGAAGAGGGAAGAUAUAGAGGAAGAGGAAGAAGAAGGGCGAAGAGGAAGAGGGAGAGGAAUAGGAAGAGGAAAAGGGCUCGCGGCCGCCGCCGCAUCUUCUCCCUCGCCGGCGAUGAAGAAGAGGGAAAAGGAAGAGGAAGAGGAAGAAAAAGGGGGAAGAGGAAGAGGGAGAGGAAGAGAGAAGAGGAAGAGGAAGAGGGAGAGGGUUCGCCGCCGUCGCCGCCGCCGCCGCCGCUAUAUCUCCUCCCUCGCCGGCGAUGAAGAAGAUGGAAGUGGAAGAGGAGGAAGAAGAAAAAGGGUAAAACUGUCAAUUCAUAUUUUAAUUAACCAUGGUUAAGUAUUUUAACCGUGGUUAAUAUAAUUUUUCUAACAGACCUUAACGGUAGGGACAUAUCUGCAUAACUUAGGUCUUUUACAGAGACAACUUAUGGAAUUUUCGUUUUACAGGGAUAUUUUCGCAAUUCACUAUGUUUGUAGGGACGUGUAUGCAAAUAACCCUUAUUUUAAAUAGCCGUUAAUUUUAUAUUAAAUAUAUUUAUUUAAGAACUUAUCAUCAAUACAAACAAGUGAAAGGCGAGUUGUACGGCACGCUCCCCGCAUUUUGGGGUUCGGUGGGGCCCACCAGUGGGGGGUGUCGCUGGUUUUCGGUUUUUUUUUUUUUCUCCGCUCGCGUUGCCCUCCCGCCCCGCUCUCUCUCUCUCUCCACGUCCACCCUCCCCAAUCCCCGCAUCUUCCUCUCUCUCUCUCCGCCGUCCGAUCUCCUCGCCGAGAUCCGCCGGGGUUCGCGGAGAGUCUGUACAGCACUUUCCCGGCGUUUAGGGGGUUCGUUGGGGCCCAGCAGCGGAGGCAUCGCGGGUUUCUCUCUCCGCGUUGCCCUCUGCGUCUUCCUCUCUCUCCUCGUUGUCCGAUUUCCUCGCCGAGAUCCGUCGGGAUUCGCGGCAUGAUCCUCCCCCUGGGAGAUCUGCCGAGGAUCUCCCCCGAUCUCUCGCAUCUAGCUUCCAGGCGUUUCGAGGGUCCGGUGGGGUCCACCAGCGAGGAGCGGGGGCGCCGGCGUGGUCCGGGGCGGGCACGGGCGCGGGCGCGAGCCGGGUGCGGGUGCUAGCGCGAGUCGGCGCGGGCCGGGCAUGGGUGACGUGGCUCCCCACCUCUUUCUCUCCGAUCUCCCCACGCGGCACGCGGAUCCGCCGGGAUCCGCGGCGCGAUCUGCGGGGUUUUUUUUGCCCCUCCGCGCUGUCCCCUCUCUCUAUCUCUCUUCGCGAUCCGCCGUCCGAUCUCCCUGCUGGGAUCCGCGGUCUCUCCGACCUCCCAGCGGGAUUCGCGGCACGAUCCUCGCCGGUGUGAGAUCUGGCGAGGAUCUCUUGGCCACCGCCUCGCCCCCGCCUCUUUCUCUCCUAUCCCGCCUCUCUCUCUCUCUCUCCGAUCUCGCCUCUCUCUCUCUUCGAUCUCUCUCUGAUCUCCCCACAGGAAUCUGCGCUCUCUCUCUUCGAUCUCCCCGCCGGGAUCCGCAGCUGCAUCUCGGGUACUCGGUGCCCCACGAGAGUAUCGUGGAGGAGAUCACCGAGGAGUUUGGGGUCGACAAUACGACGCUGAUGGAGAUCGCGGAGGAGUCGAGGAGAAAGCUGCCGAGGGCGGCGGGAGCCGCGUCGAAUCCGGAGGGCUGGGCGAGCGACGGGACGGUCGGGAGCGGAUCGAGCGGGAAUUUGAGGGGGAAUGCUCCCCGCGCGGCGGGAUCGAUCGAGGAGGAGCGCGCUCAUGAGGGAUCGAGGUUCGGGAUGAUCUCUGUGUGCGGACGCAGGAGGGAGAUGGAGGACGCCGUGUCCAUUCGCCCCGAUUUCGUGCGGGGAGGGAGGUUCGAUUUCUUCGGCGUAUUCGACGGCCACGGAUGCUCUCAUGUGAGUACUCCUCCUCCUCCUCCUACUCUUCUGUCUCGAUCCUUCGAACUAAUCAUGAAUGUCUUCGUUGCUUAGGUGGCGAUGUCGUGUAAGGAUCGGAUGCACGAGGUGGUGGGGGAGGAGAUCGACGGCUGAGAGCGGGGGCUUCGUCGCCGACGCAGGGGGGUUGGAGGGUGGCGAUGGAGCGGAGCUUCUCGAGGAUGGACACGGAGGUGCAGGGGCCGGGCCAGGGAAGCGAUUCCCGGAACCUUCGGUGCCUGUUCGAGCUUCAGGCGCGCAAGUGCGACACCGUGGGCUCAACCACCGUCGUCGCCGUGUGGGGCCCACGUGCAUCGUCCUCGACAUCGGUGCUCGGUAACAGGCCUUGACACAAGGACCCCAUCACUUGGUUCAAUUCUCCCUAAACAUGUGGCAGAGUUUCACUUUAGUCACCAAAUUUUACUGAUGCAGCUGCUAUAUAUCGCAUGUCAAUUUAUUAUCGCAGCCCACAACUGCUUUAGAGAAAUAUUAGCAAAGCCAUGCAUUGUGUCAUCUACCAUAAUGUGCUAUAAUGUUUUUUGCUCUCUUUUUUUAAGGUUUAUGAAGCACUGUCAGAGAAAAUGGAAUCAAUCCCAGGUGCCUAUGUGGAGAACAAUAAGUUCUGCAUAUCAGUUCACUUCUAUUGAGCCGAGGAAAAGGUAAAGAUCUAACGACGCAAAUUAGCAUUCUUUGUUGCCACAAAAAGAAAUUCCGCGAGAAACUUUACUAAUUUGUGCUCGCUCUGUACUAGAAAUGGCAUGUCCUGAUUGAGCAUGUUAGAUCAGUUGUCGGGGAAUAUCCGAAACUCUGGAUUACACAAGGAAGGAAGGUACAACAUUUGUGCAGAGUUUUACUUAUCGUAGGAUUAUGAAAAAUCUAAACGGCGUAACAUAUUUGCGAGUGAAUCAUUGUACUGUGCAUGAUUCGNAACAUUAUUAAUUUGUUUUCAGCCGUAAUCAUGCUAUUGAUAGUGAGCUCCAAAUAUAUAGAUGUUUUUAGCUUUAUCUUGAUUUUCAAUUAUUGACAGUGAGCUUUAUCUGCUUAACAUAGUUUUAACUUUACUAUAAUUUUUUUCUUACAAUUUCUUUCUCACACAUUUGUGAUUUCUUCAUUCUUCACCUACACAAAUGGUCCGCGGCAACGCGCGGGACCUACACUAGUAUAAUACUAACCGUAACUCUAAUUCGAACCCAGGCUCAGAUGAGUGCACCUCCCACCCUUACCCUAUUCGCCUCCCAACCCCCCAAUCGCUAGACCUUCGAGGAUGUCAACGUACGAUUCCAUCUCUUCUCCCCAACCCAACUCUCCUCUCCUUCUCUUUUGCGAGAUCUCUAGAUUCUAGGGUUUGGGAUCUAUAAUUUGUGGCUACGAUUUUUGGGAUUCGUGUCAUUUGAUCUGGAUUUUGAGAUGCUCCUAGAUUGGUUGAGAUUAGUUUGAUUUUGGAGCGUCCUGCUAAAUUAUUAGGGUCUUGGUUUUGUUUUUGAUGGAUUUGCUAUAUCGGGAGAUGUAUCAUUGGAUUGUUGAUGUUAGGGUGUAGGUGAUUUUAAUGGUAGAUCUUUCGAUUGGCUGUUAAUGAGCAUAGUAGAGAAAAUGAAUGGACGAUCUUUUCUUUUAAUUCGCUCUUUGUGAUUUGCUUUGUGCAAGGAAAGCUAAUGUUAUGCCUUAUAAGCCUCAAGCUAUUCUUAAGUAUUUCGAGGGAAAAAGGAAAAUUGAGUAUUUCUUUAUGCCAUGCAGACUAUAUUGCUUUAUCUUCUCAUCUUUGAUGCAUAAUAUAAGUUUUCACAAAACAUAUUCAUUUAUUCUUUUUUAUUUCUUACUUUUGGAAAGUGGUUUUUUAUCAAUUUUUAAUAUCAAACUAUAUUGCCGACAAGAAGUUACUCUUAUUGAUACUAAUUUUCCUUACCAGAUUUGGACUUUCUGUUCCACAUGUUUUUCCUUGCACGAUACUGCAAAAUACUUGAGGAAAACUCAUUCAGGGGACGGAUUGCGGAUUUUUUCUACAUGCUCUUAUUCGGUGCCACUGUUCUCACUGGGAGGAUGAUACCAUAUAUUUCUGAGACUUUUGCCAAAAUUUUUUUCGUUAGCAACUCAUUGACUUUCAUGAUGGUUAGUCAUCCUGUACAGCAUCUACCAUUCGCCCUAUUUAACCCUUGACGCAUGCUCCAGCAAUGCCAUCUACUGUCAUAUUGUUGUUAGAGUUCUAUUUCUGAUUUUAGGUUGGAAAUGCCUCGUUGGAUUUUUCAUUUUAUUUUACUUUAUUUUUACGUUGCAGGUCCAUGUGUGGAGCAAACAUAACCUUUCAUCCACAUGAGUUUCUUGGGCCUUUUUACCUUCACUGCGACUUAUCUACCAUGGGUGAGUUUUCUUGCUGAUUCUUCAGUGGCCUAUUAUUCAAAGUGACUAUCUGUCACCAUUGAGCGGCUGAUUGCAGCUUACUAUUGAAUCUUAUCAUUAUUGAUGUGCAAGCUUUUCAUUGUCUGAAGGCCAAAAAUUAGUUUUUUUUUUUUUUUUCCCUUCUCUUCCUUCAAAUUUGCAGGUGCUUCUUGGGUUCUCAAUUCUUGUUGGUAGCAGUACAUGGGUGGAUCUCUUGGUAAGCUACUUUUAAGGUCUGAGAUAGUUGUUACCUGUAAUCAUUGAGAAAAUUUUAUUUGACGACUUGGUAACAAAUAUGAAAUUAGAGACAGUUUGUCGAAAAUGAAGUAGAAGAUAUAACUGUCAAUAGGUUACUGAUUCGAACUAACUGUCUUAUUUGAAUGUGGGAAUUUUUUUUUUAGCUUGUUCAUAACUGCAGUUCUAGGACAAUAAUUGUACGUAAAGUCUAGUAUUACUUGAUAAUGCAGCUAAAUGUAGUGAUUACACAUUCAAUUUAACUUGUAUUCAAAAAUUGAAUUGUUGUUUUACAAUUGUUUGCAGCUAUCAAAGGUCAGUUUCUUAUAAUCAGAAUCAUAGCUUGAUUGUGUCUACAAGGCAUUAUAGGGCAUGUAAAAUCUGGGCUAUCGCUACUUGUGUGCGUGUGAGCAUGAGAGUGGAAUUGAACUGAAUCCGUUGUGGUGCAAAAUUGACGCGAAAACGACGUUUUGGGCUACUUGUUUAUGAAGGACUAAUUUUGCAAUUGGCAACUGUAUUAGGUAAGUUGCAAGAUGGCCUUCUUAGUGGAUUUCCACUAACAGAGAGAAAGAGAAGAGAUUUUUUCUCCUCUUCUCAUCCUCUUUCUCUCUCUCCCUCUCUCUCAGAUUUCAUCAAAGAAAGAGAGCAAGUAAAAGAAAAAGUGAGAAGAAGAAGAAAUAAACUCAGCUAAAAGUAUUAAGUAUUUAGGUUUCAAACUUAAAAUCUCGAGUAUUAAUCGUCAAGUCAUCCGCCACCUGCUCCGCUGGAUACGAUCAAUGAGAGAAAUUUUUUUUCUUCGGAGAACGAUAGUAUACUAUCUGUUUCGUUCAUUUUUCUAAAUAAACUAAGCUAAUAAUAUAAAAUAAUUAAACUUUAAAUAUAAAAUUUUAAAUAUUAAUUAUUAAAUUUUUAGCCAACUACAUCACAUAUCGUCGCUUUAAGAGAUAGAUAGCAUGCUACCUGUUUCGUUUAUUUUAUUUAGAAAUAAAUUUAGAAAUAAAUUUAGUUACUAAUGUGAAUCAAUUAGGAUUCGAAUUUGAAAUUUUAAAUACCAAUUAUUAAACUUUUUACCAUUCGCGCUAGGGAUGGCCGGUGGGAGAGAGAAGAAUUGUUAAUGCUGGGGGGACUUUUUUCGAAAAUAACCCUCUGAAAUUUUGUAAUUGACAAAAUAACCCUGUGAAAAUUUUAUUUGUGAAACUAACCCUCCUCUCGCCACCUCAGCCGCGACAUCAGCAUUUCUCAUCUCGUUCACCGUCUUUAGUCUAACCUCUUGAAGACGGUAAAUGGUUUACCGUCUUCUCUAGGCGUGGACCAUUCACCGCCUUCUCAGCAAUUUCCCGCCUAUAACCGCCUUCUCAGCAAUUCCCCGCGUAGGUUAGGGUGCCUGAGAAGACGGUGACUCAUUUACCUUCUUAACAAAGGCGGUGAACAGUCUACCGCCUUAUCUAGGCGUAAACCAUUCACCGCCUUCUCAGCAAUUCCCCCGCCUUCUCAGCAAUUCCCCGCUUAGCGUAUGGUGCCCUGAGAAGACGGUGACUCGUUUACCGCCUUAUGAAGGCGGUGAACUGUUUACUGUCUUAUCUGUGCAAGUUUACCGUCUUUAGUGUAGAACUCCACCCAGCCUAAUUUCGCCAAGUCCUCGAGAGGGGGG
rnacentral:lncRNA from 1 species